AUGGCGGAUGUGUUUGAAAGUGGCAAUGCUCAAACUUUAACAGCGGGAAUUAUCAUAAUAGGUGAUGAAAUCCUCAAAGGGCACACCAAAGAUGUAAAUUCUCAUUUUCUGGUCAAAAGGUUCUGGUCCCUUGGUAUUAAAGUGUGUAAAAUUUCAGUUGUGGCUGACGAUGAAUCGGAUAUCUCACACGAGGUACAGACAUUCUCGAAAAGCUACACGUUCGUCAUAACAACCGGAGGCAUAGGACCAACACAUGAUGAUGUUACUGUUCUCAGUAUAGCUAAAUCAUUUAAUGAGAAGAUUGUCAAGAAUGAGAAAGCUGCAGAGCUCAUUGCACAAGCUUAUGGCGUCCAAAAAUCCAACUUGAAUGAAUCUCAAAUGAAGAUGGCAAUGUUGCCGUCGUCUGCAGAGCUUGUUCACAGCAANGAUAUCAAAAAUAAUCCUUUUCCUGUGAUCCGUGUACACAACGUGUACAUUUUCCCUGGUAUUCCCCAUUUUGUGGAGAAAGAUUUCCUUGGUAUUGAACAUGUUUUUGAUCAGGGCAGGAACAAUGAGUUCCACCUUUGUAAGGUGUUUCUAUCUGUCGAUGAGACACAAAUCGCACAUGUGUUGGAUGAAGUGAAUGAAAAAUACAAGAAAACUGUACAGCUUGGAUCCUAUCCAGAGUUCUGCAGUCGUGAUUACCAAGUUAAGCUGACACUUGAGUCAAAUCGCAAACAGGAAGUAGAGGAUGCUUGCCAUUACCUAUUAGGGAAGCUCCCUGUAGCAAACAUUGUCAGAGUAGAAGGUUUGGAGAUGGAAAACAGCAAUGAAGCAAAACCACAAGAUANAUCUUGUAUAAAUGAGAUCUUAUCUCUGCUGAAAUCAUCCAACAACUCCAACAUUAGUGGAUGCGUGAAAGGUGCUUGGGCCGUCCUUCAAGAAGUNUUGCGAGAGUACAGCCUUGAAGAACUCUGCCUCAGUUUCAAUGGAGGGAAGGAUUGCACNGUCCUUUUGCAUCUAUUUCAUGCUGCAGUCUCACAGAAAUGUAGUCAAAAUACCAAGAUUAAUGCAUUAUACAUCAAAUAUGAUUCACCAUUUCCAGAAGCUGAAGAAUUCAUACAAGAAACAAUAAAGCGAUAUAANCUUAACCUAAUUACUGUAGAGGGAAAUAUCAAAUCUGCAUUACAAGACCUAAAGACCACACAUCCUAAGAUCAAAGCCAUUCUACUAGGAACCAGAAGACAUGAUCCAUUCACUGAGAGAUUACGUACUUUUACUUGUACUGAUCCAGGAUGGCCUGAGUACAUGAGAGUCAACCCAAUACUUGACUGGCAUCAUUGUGAUGUCUGGUCUGUCAUUCUACACUUUAGGAUUCCAUACUGUUCACUGUAUGAUAAGGGUUAUACUUCAUUAGGUAGCACACAUAAUACACAGCCAAAUCCAGCACUUAAAGUGGAUGGCGAAAAGUAUAAACCUGCUUAUCUUCUAGAAGAUGAUCGUCAAGAACGAGCAGGACGAACUUAGAAGGGCAGUGUCCCCAUUUUAUUUACAUUUGGUUAAGAACAAAGCUACUAACAAAUAAUCAUAUACUAUCAUAUAAUAAACGUAUUUAUGAAAAAGCGUAUUUAUGCCAGACCGUUAGUUUUAAGAUUGAUUUAACUAUACGAACAAGUGUAUGUACGUAGAUUAAUUUCGAUCUGCUCCAGGUCUCCCAGGAGUCUCAGGACUGGACUAAGAUCAAUUUUGAAAGAAUUGUAAUAAAUAACUACAAUAAGCACG
rnacentral:misc_RNA from 1 species